rnacentral:rRNA from 1 species
GGACUACUGGGGUAUCUAAUCCUGUUUGAUCCCCACGCUUUCGCGCCUCAGCGUCAGUUAUGUGCCAGAUAGCCGCCUUCGCCACCGGUGUUCCUCUUAAUAUCUACGAAUUUCACCUCUACAUUAAGAAUUCCGCUAUCCCCUCACAUACUCCAGUUGUACAGUUUCAAAGGCAGUUCCGGAGUUAAGCUCCGGGAUUUCACCCCUGACUAGUACAACCGCCUACGCGCUCUUUACGCCCAGUAAUUCCGAACAACGCUAGCACCCUUCGUAUUACCGCGGCUGCUGGCAC